GUACAUUCUCGAUUCCAAGUAAAAAAGAAGCGGGAUCCGGCUGAGGAUGGAUCGGACUUUGGGUCGUUACUGGAUUCGUGUCUCAUAUCAAACACGCUUCUUCCUUUGCACAAACCCUAAUUUUGAUAUCCAUUUGUCUGGCCGUUUCACUCCAAAUCUCAACGAAGACAUCAAUCUUUCAUCAUCGCAAACCCUAAUCGCGAUGUUUAUCAACGAAGACAUCAAUCUUUCUUCCUUUUAUCAAUCUAUUUAAGGUUUUCUUUUCUUCUACAGGUUUCUUUUUCGUUAGUGUUUCCUUCUGAACCAAGAUGUUUCUUCUUCCUUUUAUCUGCUUUCUCUCUGUCUCUGGUAAUUCAAAAAAGGAUGACGGCGAUUCAAGCCGAUUGGUGAAGAUUUCACAAAAUCAAUGUCAGGUUCAGAUUUACAGGGGGUUCGGCUUUGUGACCUUUGCUGAGGACGAUGUUGCAGAUCGUGUUUCAAGAAGGUCACACGAGAUUUGUGGACAACAGUUAGUCGCCGGUAGUGCUACUUCUUGAUUUUUGUCUUAACUUAACUUCCCGUAAGCUACCUAUUGCAGCUCAUCACUGAUACUUUAUAAGGUGGGCGGGUGAUCAAGAAUGGGAAACGUGCGCACAUGAAAAUAGUGUUGGGUGGAUGGAGAUGGCUGAGCCGGUUAUGAAUCUUUGUACAAAAACUAUUGAUGGUUCUUAUAUUGAAAAGAAAGAAACUAGAAUGGUUUGGUACUAUGAAGAUGUUGACAAAGAUUUUGGGUCGGAACAGGCUAAGUAACUGUUGGACUAUCUUGAAAACGUACUGUCUAACGAGGCUGUUGUGGUGAAAACACGUCAAUACAUUGUAGAUGUUAAACCACAGGAUCUACCAAUUAUAACGGUAGAUAUGCACGAAUAAAGGCUCCGUGCAGUUGAAGUCAUGGACUUUGAAUUUUGUCGUAUUGAAGGCUUUAUUUUAUUUUAUAAGUUUGUUACUGCAAUGCAGGUGGUUAAUUAUAAGGUUAAAGAUGAUGGAUUGGAUGUGAAUGCUCUUACAUCCAGUAUGAUUGUGUGUGGGGACCUUCCAAGACCUACAAACGUCCCCAAAUUUAUGUCCACGCUUUCAGGGUAGUACAAAUUCGUUAUUUCUUACUGAUUUGUGGUUACAACUAUUUUUGUUGUUCUUUCUUUGUUGUUUUGGUAUUUUCAUGAAGUCACAGUCCAAUAUUUUUUUUCUUGACAGGUAAAAUUCUGAGAUUCUAACAGCUUUGUUAUGUAUGUUAAAUUCUUCAAUAUCGUUCACAAACUUCCCAUUUUCCAUCUCUUUGGAAAUUGCUGAUGUAAACCAAGAUUUUUUAGUGUUUUCAUAUUUUUCGCCUUUUGUUGUUGAUUCGUUUGUAGGAAAAAACCUGAUUUAGGCUAUAGGUUUUUUUUCACUAACUGGUGUUGAUUCUAUUUUAGAACAAUCUGAUUUUAGGGUUUGUAAUAAAUGUGAACCUGAUAACAUUGAGGCUCCAUAGCUAAUGAAGUGGAAGACGCAGUAUACGAGUGAGUUGGAGAAGAAGGUAUACCCUGGACAGAUUGCACAGGCUGUAUAUGAUGUUGAAGAGGCUACAUUUAUUGCGGUCCACAUGAUUCUAGAAAACAAGACAAAUCUCCAUGACAAAUUUUGGUGUCAACAUGAGGAAGCGAAAACCGGCACAAAACCUCUCAUAUAUGUACUUUGAUGAUUCAGGGUAGUUACUGAUCAGUCGUUGAACUUUUUUUAACACCGGCACAAAACCUCUCAUAUAUGUAAAGGUAGGGUGAAAGGGUGAAAAAUCCCAACUACAUGGAACAAGCACUGCAAGAUUGUACCAAGGAUGAUUAUCUUAUUAUGGAAACGACGAUUGCGGCGUUUGCAAGAAUGACGGUUGAAGAUUCAAAAAAGUUGCUUGCUCCGGAAUACUACCUGUCUUGGGUUGUUUUCUCACAGAGACAGAAGUUGAGUUUUAUUUAUUUUUCAGUUGAACUGGCUUAAUGCUCAUCUUACAAAGAUCAUGCCCUAUGUUGACGAGGUCAGUUGAUUGUAUUGAAUGGCUAAUUUUAUACUUUUGUUGUGUAACGUGUAUCUGAUUUAAAUAGUCAGCUGUGAUAUGACAGGCAAAAGAUUUUUUUUUUUUGGAUUCGGCUGCCAAUUGGUGUUGUUUUAUGGGGUUGGUGGGUAUAUAUUAUAUUAGUUCUUUAAUCCUAACUUUGUAUAGGUUAACCAUGUCAACCCUGUAUGGACCUGUUUACGUUCGAAACCUGCUGAGCACUUGAGCCCCAUCUGUUUAUUUCAUGUCGGGUUUGUGUCCUGUUAUGUGGUUCCACUGCUCGAAGUUGUCGUACUGUCACAGUGUUGUUAAGUGUUUGGUAAUUUUUGAUAGUUUGAGGAUGAAAUGUCCUGUUAUGUGGUUCCACUGCUCGAAGUUGUCGUACUGUCACAGUGUUGUUAAGUGUUUGGUAAUUUUUGAUAGUUUGAGGAUGAAAUUUUAUAAACUGAGGGUAAAAUCAUGGCAUCUAAGUAAUUUUACCCUACCCUAUGGUAACAAGGUUUGUUGAAUCCACUAUAAAACCAAUUAUUGCCCCCCCAAACAAUCACAUAAUCAUAAUUCAUAAGCAACACUUUACUGUUGUGUAGUGGCUGUCUAAUUUGGAUGUAAAUUUUGAAAGUAAUCUUGAGUAUUCAUGUGUUGAAACAUGGUGACUUUAGUGUUUGGAUGCUACUUUUAGUGUAAAUUCCUUUUGAGAACUGAUUAUUUUGGAAUUCUGCUAUUAUGUGAUUUUGGAUUGUCCUAUAGGGCAGCAUCCGAUCUUAUAAAGGUUAAUGUGGAGCCAAUUCUUGAGCAAUAUAGACCAAUGGUAUUGUCUUCUCUGUCGUUUUCCAAGUUUACUCUUGGCACGGUCGCACCACAAUUUACAGUUAAGGCUAGAUGAUGUUUUCACCGGUUGCCUAUUCACAAUUUUUAAAUCUUUUAUUUCAAUUCACUGGUUAUAGUGGCUAGGUAGUUUGAUAUUCUAUUUUAAGAUGAUUUUACAUAUUCUUUGAAUUCUAAUUGGUUAUGUUUUUAGGAGUUUCUAUAAUUGAAGGUGCAGAUGAAGGAAUAACUAUGGAAUUAGAGAUGAAUUGGGAUGGGAACCCAAGUAUAAUACUUGAUAUCAAAACCAUACUUGGAGUUGGAUUGCCUGUGCAGAGGCGUCUUGGAAGCAAAGCUGGAUCUAGGUGGGCCUGCUGGUGUUUAUAAAUGGAGUAGGAUUGUUGAUCCGAAAGUGAAUUGCUUCGUUUGGUAUGUCUCGAGCGGUUGCAUACCUACGACUAUCGUUUGUAAGGAAUGUGGCUAAACUUACGCUAAGAUACACACAAAGUGCAUAAUCCUGAAUUUAUGCCCUAAACAUGAUUUGGGGUUGUUACAUGUUAAAAAGGCAACGGCGAUUGCGACUUUUGCGACAAUGACGGUUGAAGAUUCGAAAAAGUUGCUUGCUCCGGAAUACUACCUGAAUUGGGAUGGGAACCCGAGUAUAAUGCUUGAUAUCAAAACCAGACUUGGAGUUGGAUUGCCUGUGCAGGUACAGUUUAGAUGAAGCUGCAUGACCUGCUGAGCGAGGGCGAUAAAGACUCGGAGUUGGAUUCAUCUGAUCAUGUAAUCCAAAGAUCCUGCUAAUGGUUCGUAAACGGGUCAAAAUAACAAGUUGUAGACACUUUGGCAGGUGUGGUGUGGUUGAAGACACGUAGAAAAAAAUGAAGCUGUGUAUGCAGUUUUCUUAAUGACGAUUCUCAAGAUGUGUAGAAACGAAAAGGUUUUAAGGGUAUUAGGGCGACGCCGUGUAGAAUGGUUGAAGAUAUCAACGAAGCCUCUUACCGGUGGAUGAUCAAAAGAUCUAAGGUGGCGGGAAUUGAUCCGGGGAACAGGUACAAUUUUGCUGAUGGACUUUGAUUACAACGAUAUUUAUCAAAGAAUCCACCGGUAGUAAUUAAGUGACAAUACUUGCAAAUAUUCUUUUUUGAAAGAGCGAAGACCGGAUAUUAAAGAACUUGGAUAAAGUGACAAUUGUGGAGGACCCUAAUCCGAGCUUGCGUCUAAUCUAUCAACUAUUUCUCCACCAAAUUCCUGUAUCAACACCGUUCAAUAAUAUAAUUUAUUGUAAGACCACACGUGUACCUAUAUAUUUAUAAUUUUUUAUUGUAGUAUCAUUUUUUAUACGUUUAUAUUGAAAAGGUAUUUCAUAACAAA